UGCAAGAUGCCCCAAAAAAAAUAAAUAAAUAAAUAAAAAAUAAGAGCAAAAAAUUAAAGGGUGUCUAAUGAACAAGAGAGAAUAUAGAUAAGCAUGUGGUCAGGUGGCCAUCUAUAUCCUUAGCCAAACAUAGAAGUGAAAGGUUCAUUUUCUUUAGAGCCUCCAAACCAAUCCACAUUUAUCGUACCCCUUCUUUCUAAAAGCUUUAGCCUACCUUUCUAUCCCUGGAUGACCACGACGUGUCACUUCUUAUCCCCAUUCCUAUAUAUCUGAUCGUUACACCCUCUUCCUUUCCCAUAUUAUAAAACCACCUCUAUUACAUAAAUAUCAAAAAGGAAAAGAAAAAAAAAAAAAAAAAAAAAGUACCUCUCCAAUCCCACUUUUCCAAUUUCAUUGAUCUUCUUCUUCUUCUUCUUCUUCAUCUUUCUCUCUCUAUCAAUAUGGACACACAAGCUGAUCUCACCAUGAGAACUUUUGAUAUGGGUUCUCUAAGGACAAAUCUUCCUUUGAAGAGAGGAUUGUCAAGGUAUUAUUCAGGAAAAUCGAGAUCGUUUACGUGCAUGGCGGAUGUUCAUUGCCUUGAAGAUCUUAAGAAACCAGAACAUCCAGAUGCCAAGAAAAGGAAGAAAUAUUCAGAUAGAAAGGAUAUGCGUGUUCCUCCAUAUCCAUGUCGAAGAGUUUCUAGUUCCACCCAAUGUGCUCCACCUUAUGUUGGUGUAUAAAAAUAUUUCACUAACAUGGUCAUCAUCAAUAUCAAAAAAACAUAUGAUCAUGUGCUCAGCCUUUCCAAUAAAUUUUUUUUUAUUUAAUUCCAACUUCCUAAUCGUUGUGUAAAUAAUAAGUUGAGAACAAUAGAAAUAUGUUGGACCUCGUUUUGUUAUGAAACAUUCUAGUUUUAAUUACUCAAAUUUCAGCUCUCAGGAACUGUACAACAUUUAUAAUAUGAAAAGCAGACAUGAUUUAGAACUUC